rnacentral:rRNA from 1 species
AACGAACGUUGGCGGCGUGGAUUAGGCAUGCAAGUCGCACGAAUCCCAGCCUUGUAGCAAUACCGGAUUGGGGAAAGUGGCGAAAGGGGCAGUAAGGCGUGGGUAACUUGCCCCGGAGUUCGGAAUAGCCUUUCUAACGAAUGGGUAAUACCGAAUGCCCUGACGAGGGGGCCGUCCUCUGGUCAGGAAAGUUACGGCGCCCCGACGA